rnacentral:rRNA from 1 species
GAUGAACGCUGGCGGCGUGCCUAAUACAUGCAAGUCGAGCGAACGGACGAGAAGCUUGCUUCUCUGAUGUUAGCGGCGGACGGGUGAGUAACACGUGGAUAACCUACCUAUAAGACUGGGAUAACUUCGGGAAACCGGAUCUAAUACCGGAUGAUAUUUUGAACCGCAUGGUUCAAAAGUGAAAGACGGUCUUGCUGUCACUUAUAGAUGGAUCCGCGCUGCAUUAGCUAGUUGGUAAGGUAACGGCUUACCAAGGCAACGAUGCGUAGCCGACCUGAGAGGGUGAUCGGCCACGCUGGAACUGAGACACGGGCCAGACUCCUACGGGAGGCCGCAGUAGGGAAUCCUCCGCAAUGGGCGAAAGCCUGACGUAGCAACGCCGCGUGAGUGAUGAAGGUCUUCGGAUCGUAAAACCCGGUUAUUAGGGAAGGACAUAUAUGUAAUGAACUGUACUCAUCGUGACGGUACCUAAGCAGAAAGGCACGGCUAACUACCUG